UAUUCCAGUACAGUACUGUGUAGGUAUUUUAAAAGUCAAACUUUUCAUUGUUUACGAGGAAUAUUUCUGCUAAAUUUCUGAGACUACAAAUGAAGAAUUGUUCAUCUAUCUUUGCAAUCCAGUUUUAUUACAGUGCAGAGAUCUAAAAUACGGAGAACUAUUACCUUAAUUAAAUAGCACAUAUAACAUUGAAAAUACUUCCUGAAGUGUCUUAAUGGAUGCUGAAAGAAAGAAAAAGGACUCAGAACAGAUUGCGAACAGUUCCAUCAAAGAGAUACAUUUUGAGAAGAGUAAGCUGUUAGUGGAAAAUGGGAGUCCAUCCAGGAUUGGAACUUUAAUCUGUAAAUUAUUACAAAAGAAUGGAUGAAGGCUUCAGGAGCAGAAAACACCUGUAAUUAACAUUGCAAAUGAACCAUUAUGGACUUUGGUUUGACCAUCUCUCAUGAACCUACUUCGAGGCAAAGCAAUAAGACACUACAGUUCCAGAGACACCACCAGACCUUGGUUGAGUGGAUUCUUCUUGCAUGACAGACAAAAAUGUGAGGAGUUCUGAAGAGACAACACUGGGCCCAAAAAUCUACUUUCUCUCCGCAGAUGCUGCCAGACCUGCUAGAUUUCUCCAACAAUUUCUAUUUUUGUUUCACCAAUGUCAGGAGGCUGUGUUACAGUGGGGUGGCAGCUUUAUUUUUGGUGAUGUUUAGGGCCGUACAAUUCAGCUGAACAUGGAGCUGCCUGCAUUCAUAUUCUGGUUUGUCUUGUUGGCAAAUUCCCAUUGGUCAGUUUUAUUGUGUAAAUUUGUCCUGCUAUUUUAAGUGAGACAGUGCACAAACAAGUAGUUGUAUCAAUGCAGAAUCAGACCCUUAUUGAAAUCUCAAAAUGCAAAUUAUCAAUAAAGCAAAUGUGUGCAGGUGACAGUAGACCCUAUUAAUUGCAGAGAUACCAAGUUACGUAAUGUAAGCAAUUAAUGAAGAUACAUGAAUAAAACUAAAAUACAUGUUGUUCUUCUCAAUUCUUUCCAAUUAUUUCAUUGCUAUGGUUACAUUGUUUUAAUUAGCUCAAAGCCAUCUCUCAUAGGCAUCAGUGAUUAGAUAGACGUUUGGCAGAUCGUUAUCGACAUUGAUGAAUGUUUGCUUUCAGACAUUACAUCAUUCUCCCUAUUUAACUAUUUUCAUUUGUUCCACGUGCGCUCUUAACAUAUGACUUACAAUUCCAUUUUAUUCAGCCUUCGAGUCCAGAAAGAAAUUUUAACCCGUGCGUUGGUAAUUUAACGAGUGCUGAUGCUGCAGGUUUCUUGGGUGAUUCAGUUUUUCAGGUAGUAGAGAUUCUUGUUCCCACUUCACCACCCUCACUACAUGGAUUGGGUGAAUGAUGCUCAAUGGAUUACAAUCAGGAUAAUCUUGGUUGAUCCUUUUACUUUUCUCAAUCCUAGUAUAAUCUAGUCAGUUUUGGCAUCUUUACUGCAACCAUUUCUUUGAUGAAGGAAGAAGGCUGCCCCACUGUGAGUUUAGCAACAACUGGGAAUGAAAAAUAUUGUUUAUAUGAUAUGGCUAUUUUAGUUAGCAAAGGAAACAUAUGGGUCAGAAAGUGACAAAGAUGUAGCAUAUUAUGCACAUUGUUUAGCAGAAGCAAAGUGUC